rnacentral:rRNA from 1 species
AAGUCGAACGAUGAAGUCCUAGCUUGCUAGGAUGGAUUAGUGGCGCACGGGUGAGUAAUAUAUAGUUAAUCUGCCCUACACAGAGGAACAACAGUUGGAAACGGCUGCUAAUACCUCAUACUCCUAUUUGACAUAAGUUAAAUAGGGAAAGUCUUUUCGGUGUAGGAUGAGACUAUAUCGUAUCAGCUAGUUGGUAAGGUAAUGGCUUACCAAGGCUAUGACGCGUAACUGGUCUGAGAGGAUGAUCAGUCACAUUGGAACUGAGACACGGUCCAAACUCCUACGGGAGGCAGCAGUAAGGAAUAUUGCGCAAUGGGGGAAACCCUGACGCAGCAACGCCGCGUGGAGGAUGACACUUUUCGGAGCGUAAACUCCUUUUAUCAGGAAAGAAUAAUGACGGUACCUGAUGAAUAAGCACCGGCUAACUCCGUGCCAGCAGCCGCGGUAAUACGGGGGGUGCAAGCGUUACUCGGAAUCACUGGGCGUAAAGGACGCGUAGGCGGAUUAUCAAGUCUUUUGUGAAAUCUAGUGGCUUAACCACUAAACUGCUUAGGAAACUGAUAGUCUAGAGUAGGGGAGAGGUAGAUGGAAUUCUUGGUGUAGGGGUAAAUCCGUAGAGAUCAAGAAGAAUACCCAUUGCGAAAGCG